UAGAGUUUUCGAUCCUGCUCAGGCUAAAGCUGCGGCGCACAUAAGACAUAGCAAUCGAACGAACUUAACCUUAGUUUACUAUUGGAGCGGUUAGUGCGGACUGGUGAGUAACACGUAAGCAACCCUGCCCUAUCCUAAGAGGGGAACAACAGUUAGAAAUGACUGCUAAUACCGCAUAUACCUAAGUAACGCAUGUUACAAUGGAAAGAGCAAUCCGCUGAUAGAUGGCUUGCGUCUGAUUAGAUAGUUGUGGGGUAACGGCCUACCAAGUCGACGAUCAGUAGCCGGACUGAGAGGUUGAACGGCCACAUUGGGACUGAGAUAGGCCCAGACUCCUACGGGAGGCAGCAGUCGGGAAUAUUGCGCAAUGGAGGAAACUCUGACGCAGUGACGCCGCGUGCAGGGAGAAGGUUUUCGGAUUGUAAACUGCUUUAGACAGGGAAGAUACAAGACAGUACCUGUAAAAUAAGCUCCGGCUAACUACGUG
rnacentral:rRNA from 1 species